rnacentral:rRNA from 1 species
AUACGUAGGAGGCGAGCGUUGUCCGGAAUGAUUGGGCGUAAAGGGCGCGUAGGCGGCGCGGUAAGUCUGGAGUGAAAGUCCUGCUUUCAAGGUGGGAAUUGCUUUGGAUACUGCCGCGCUUGAGUGCAGGAGAGGUUAUCGGAAUUCCCGGUGUAGCGGUGAAAUGCGUAGAGAUCGGGAGGAACACCAGUGGCGAAGGCGGGUAACUGGACUGCAACUGACGCUGAGGCGCGAAAGUGUGGGGAGCAAACAGGAUUAGAUACCCUGGUAGUCCACACUGUAAACGAUGAAUGCUAGGUGUAAGAGGUAUCGACCCCUUUUGUGCCGGAGUCAACACAAUAAGCAUUCCGCCUGGGGAGUACGGCCGCAAGGUUGAAACUCAAAGGAAUUGACGGGG